AUUGAACGCUGGCGGCAUGCUUUACACAUGCAAGUCGAACGGCAGCACGGACUUCGGUCUGGUGGCGAGUGGCGAACGGGUGAGUAAUACAUCGGAACGUACCCAGUAAUGGGGGAUAACUAUCUGAAAGGAUAGCUAAUACCGCAUACGCCCUACGGGGGAAAGAGGGGGAUCGCAAGACCUCUUGUUAUUGGAGCGGCCGAUGGCUGAUUAGCUAGUUGGUGGGGUAAAGGCCUACCAAGGCAACGAUCAGUAGCGGGUCUUAGAGGACGAUCCGCCACACUGGAACUGAGACACGGUCCAGACUCCUACGGGAGGCAGCAGUGGGGAAUCUUGGACAAUGGGCGCAAGCCUGAUCCAGCAAUGCCGCGUGCGUGAAGAAGGCCUUCGGGUUGUAAAGCGCUUUUGUCAGGGAGCAAAUCCUUGUGGCUAAUACCCACCGGGGAUGAGAGUACCUGAAGAAUAAGGACCGGCUAACUACGUGCCAGCCGCCGCGGUAAUAC
rnacentral:rRNA from 1 species